rnacentral:rRNA from 1 species
GACGAACGCUGGCGGCGUGGAUAAGACAUGCAAGUCGAGCGCGAAUUUACCUGUAGCAAUACAGGUAAGUUUGAGCGGCGCAAGGGUGCGUAACACGUGGGUAAUUUGCCGUGAAGUUGGGGGAUAACUCGCUGAAAGGCGAGCUAAUACCGGAUGUGGAAUGAGAGUGGCAUCACUUUUCUUCUAAAGCUGGGGAUCGUAAGACCUGGCGCUUCAUGAUAAGCCCGCGGCCUAUCAGCUAGUUGGUGCGGUAACGGCGCACCAAGGCUAAGACGGGUAGCUGGUCUGAGAGGACGACCAGCCACACUGGAACUGAGACACGGUCCAGACACCUACGGGUGGCAGCAGUCGAGAAUUUUUCUCAAUGGGCGAAAGCCUGAAGGAGCGACGCCGCGUGGGGGGUAUGAAAGGGUUUUCGAUCCGUAAAACCCCCGUGUCAUUCGUGAACAAUGCUUACCAGUGAACAACUGGUGAGUUGAUAGUAACGGAAGAGGAAGGGACGGCUAACUCUGUGCCAGCAGCCGCGGUAAUACAGAGGUCCCGAGCGUUGUUCGGAUUCACUGGGCGUAAAGGGUGCGUAGGUGGCAUGGUAAGUUUGAUGUGAAAGCUCAGAGCUCAACUCUGAAAUGGCAUUGAAUACUACUGUGCUGGAGGUUUGGAGGGGGGCACGGAAUUCUUGGUGUAGCAGUGAAAGCNUAGAUAUCAAGAGGAACACCAGUGGCCGAAGGCGAGU